UUGUAAUUGUGAAUAGUAUUUGCAAUUUGGAUAAGCAAACCACAAACAAUUUUAGUAAUAAUGAGAAUAAUGGGCAUACAAAUUUGAAUGGAAAGAUUGACAUUGAUGCAAUUUCCCCAAUUUCACCUAAUAUUUUUUUAUCUAACAGUCAAUGAAUUUGGACCACAAAAUGUAUUUUGGGUGAGAAUUGUGAUUAUAAUUCUGAAUUUUGAUAUUUUUAGACACUACAGCUUCUUGCUGAAGUGGCUGUUUUGGAAGAGGAGGUUGUUAGGCUUGAAGAACAGGUUGUGCAUUUCAAACAACGCCUUUAUCAGGAAGCUGUUUGCAGAAUAAUUUCAUUACCUGAACAUUGAAUGCCUAGAUGAUUUUCCCUUUUGAAUUUUUCAGUCUUGUGCAUUUUCCUGGAGUCUUCUAAGUUCUAUUGCUCUGAACAUUGAGGCAUUCAAGUCGAAAUUGAUAAAGAUAAUAAGUUUGAGCAAUGUUUAGAAAAUUUCUAUAUAAUGUUGUGUCACAGGUUGUUAAGGUGGCUGAUUUUGGAGGUGCUAGAGUGAAAUCUCAAACUGAAGUUAUGAUGGCAGAAACUGGGACAUAUCGAUGGAUGGCUCCUGAGGUUAUAGAACACAGCCCUAUGAUCACAAGGCUGAUAUUUUUAGCUUCGGGAUUGUAUUGUGGGAGUUGCUAACCGGAAAGCUGGAAAAGGAGAUAAUAGAUCUGACUCUGCAACGAGACGUUGCUCAAUCUCAGGUUCAGGAUUUGCUAUGAUUGGCUGGGGAUGAAGAUUCAAUGGUAGGUUUGAAUAACUACCCUCACUUGCGAGUUCAGAAAUCGCCAGAUUCUGGAAAUGCAACAUCAAAAGCAUCCCCUUCAUCAUAUCCUCACUUCUUGGAUGUUAGUGUCAGAGCAUUUGACAGAUCUCUGUCUUCUUAUAGACGUGUGAGUAGUUUUGUUGAUCACUACAUACAAAUUCCCAACUUUGAAGAAAACUUUCAGCAGAAUGAUGCUUUUCCACACCUAUUGGUCACUACUGCU